UAAGGAAUAUUGGUCAAUGGACGCAAGUCUGAACCAGCCAUGCCGCGUGAAGGAUGAAGGUCCUCUGGAUUGUAAACUUCUUUUAUCUGGGACGAAAACGGGAUUUUUAUCUCAAUUGACGGUACCAGAGGAAUAAGCACCGGCUAACUCCGUGCCAGCAGCCGCGGUAAUACGGAGGGUGCAAGCGUUAUCCGGAUUCACUGGGUUUAAAGGGUGCGUAGGUGGGCAGGUAAGUCAGUGGUGAAAUCUCCGAGCUUAACUUGGAAACUGCCGUUGAUACUAUAGGUCUUGAAUUAUCUGGAGGUAAGCGGAAUAUGUCAUGUAGCGGUGAAAUGCUUAGAUAUGACAUAGAACACCAAUUGCGAAGGCAGCUUACUACAUAUAAAUUGACGCUGAGGCACGAAAGCGUGGGGAUCAAACA
rnacentral:rRNA from 1 species